GACGAACGCUGGCGGCAUGCCUAAUACAUGCAAGUCGUGCGAACAAUCAUGGUGCUUGCACCAUUGAGCGUUAGCGGCGAACGGGUGAGUAACACGUGAGGAACCUCCCUUUCAGUGGGGGACAACAGUUGGAAACGACUGCUAAUACCGCAUAAUGCUUUUGAGCGGCAUCGCUUGAAAGCCAAAGAUUUAUCGCUGAAAGAUGGUCUCGCGUCUGAUUAGCUAGUUGGUGAGGUAACGGCUCACCAAGGCGACGAUCAGUAGCCGGUCUGAGAGGAUGAACGGCCACAUUGGGACUGAGAUACGGCCCAG
rnacentral:rRNA from 1 species